CGCGCGGCGCCUGCGUGUCCCGCCCACCGCCAGCCGGAGGGUGUGGGGCGUUUGCGCGCCGCCGCGCUGCGCGGUGGUCUCUGACGCUAGGGUUGCACGCCCGGCGCACACUGGAAACAGCUGAAGCUUGGAAGUCCAGGGCUGAGACAAACUGUUAAGAGCUCAGUCGGUGAGGCUGGAGGGACUUGGAGAGUUAGGUCACACCUCUGCGGAUACUGGAAACCUUUGGUCACCAGGGAGCGUUUGCACGCACUCUGGAGACGGGGAACUCACCUCUCUGUGCGUUGAACCACGUCUUCGCUGCACAGUGCCUUCAGUUCUGUAGAGUGCAAGCGACAGCUUGCCUUGUAUGCAGCGCCUACUGUGUGCCAGGUAUUGCGACGUGAGCUCUAUAACUCGUCGCAGAGAACCCCUCGCAGGGGGACCAGAGCUGCCGCUGACGAUCUGCCACCUCUGCAUCGAGGCUUCGUGAACUGUGGGAAGGCUGGCUCCUCCCAGAGUGCUGGGGAGCCAGGGCAGUAGGAAUCGCUAGAUGACCCAUCUGCUGCCGGAGAGUGGGCUGCGAAGUGGUGAAGGCAGAAGCCGGGAGACCCAAGGAGUGUGCCGAGGAAAGAGCUGGAACCAGCAGGGAUGCUAUGAGAUUUGCUGGUGGACGAUGGGGCAAGGAGAGAGGCUACGGGGAGAUACAGGUGUGCAGAGGUGGGGAGCUAAGUCUGUUAGAGGGCCGAGAUUCCAUCCACAGCCAAAUUGGAUAUAGGAGCCUGGGGCUUAGAGGGCAGCCUGGCCGCUGGUGUUGUUGGGCAGUUCCUUAAAUGGCGCACCAAACAAAAGUACUGCAGGUCCUUCUUGUCUCGAACAAAGAAUUCCCGAGAUGAGCCAAAAAGGAUGCCCAAAGUUUCUUUGAAAACGCAAGGUGAAAGGGUAAGGGAAGAACCGACCCCGCAGAGCAAUUGGGACAAACAAAGAGAGAAAAGGAUAAAAAGGAAAAAUGAAAGUGCACCCCGGGAGGCACAGGAGGAGUUCCUGCGAGGAGUCAAACUUCGAGCUCCUCCUGUCAUCUGCUUACUGAGGCUGUCCACAUCUCCUGGGAGCUCCUGAGAAGCUCUAGGUGCCAGCCCCUGGGACUCAGCUGGCGUCAUCCUGGGGUCUUGAAAUUGAGAGGUCCUGACCAUUUCUGGGCCAGCUUUGCCGUGUGGACAGCUGCCUAGAUAUGGCCUUCACUGUCCUGGCCUCUGUUUCCUCAUCUGUAAGAUGGAGAGGCCGUCUCUGAGGAUGUGGUCCACGCUGUCCAGGUGACCCUCACUUCCACCUGCAUCCUGUCCUGUCAGCCUCCAGUUAUGACUCCAGCGGGGCGGGGGAUGUUCGCUUCCUCGGAGCCCUUCAGUUCCCUUCAGGAACAUCCCACACCUCCUCAGAGGGCCGCAGCAUCUUUGAGAAACUCCGACUUGGAUUCCGGCUCAGAAGGAAAAACAAAGUCAGUCAGUUUCAAUCCUUUCAACAUUCUGCCCUGGAAGAUUCCAGAAUCAGAAUGACAAAACCAAAGGGUGGUGGAGGUCUAGGUCAAGGACAAUUAUCACAAAAGCCAAGACUUUUUUUUUUUUUUUUGCAAGUGAAUAAUUUUUUCAAUUUAUUUGGUGAAAAAAAACCUUAUCUUUUCUUCAUUGACUUAUCUUUGGAGAUUUGCCUGAAUUGUCUGAAUUUUUUUUCUAGAUUCAAACCCAUGACAAUCCUGCCUCAGCCUACUGGGAUUACAGUUGUGCGCCACCGUUCCUUGCUCAGCUGACCAUUUUGAUCGGCUUAUUUUUGGACUUUGUACUCCGCUCGUUGAGCUGUGUGUUUAAUAUAGCUGUUUAGUAAUUUUUUAAAUCAGAUAGUAUGAGUCCUCCAACAUUGGUGUUUCUCAGUUUCUCUGCAUUUAAAAGGAAAGGUCAAGAAAAAGAAAUCAAGAUUUACCAUGUACAGGUGUAAAUUGUUCAUAAUAAAUGUAAUCAUUAUGUAACCUAAAUUGUGCCGAUAAAUAUAAUUAAAUUUUUUAAAAUGUUGACAAAAUUUCUGCUGGAAUGGUAUUAAGUCCACAGAACAUAUGAGGAAAAUGUUAUUCUAAGUUCACUGAGUUUUCCAGUCCAUGAGCCCUAUGUAUCAUUCCACUUAGGUCUUCUCUGAUUUUCUUCAUCAGUGUUUUAUAAUUUUCAGCAUAUAGGUCCUGCAAACCUUCAGUAGGUUGUGCUUGUUUCUGUUUUUUAAAUUUACAAAUGCUACGUAAAAAUUUUUUGGCCAGGGAUUUAGCUCAGUGGCAUACCAGCUGCCUGGCAAGCAGGAGGUCCUGAAUUUGAUUUCUGGCACCCCCCCCCAUUUUAUUUUUUAAUUUCCAAUCAUUUAUUGCCAGUAUAGGAAUAUAAUUGAUUUUUUAUUUUGGUACCAGGGAUCAAACUCCAGACCUCACGCUUACCAGGCAGGCACUUGUGCCGUUGAGCUACAGCCCCAGCCCAACAAUUGAUCUUUAUGAGUUGACAGUAAGUCCUGCAACCUUGCUAUACUCACUUAUUCUAGAAGCUUCUCUAUAGAUCACUUGGAAUUGUCUGCUAUAUAGUUAUUUUGUCUGUGAAAGGGACCAUUUUAUUUGUUCCUUUGUAAUAUGUACACCUUUGGCUGUUCUGGCCUUAUUGCCGGCCUGCUAGUGUAGAACUGAAUCAGAAUGAGAAACAGAAAACAUUCACCAUUAAGUGUGAUGCUUGUUUUGAGUAGUGUUGUGUGUGUGUGGUUUUAUUUUUGUUUUUUAUUAGAUGCUCCUGUUCAGACUACUGAUGUUCCCUUCCGUUCCUAGUUUACUGAGUUUUUUUUAUUAUGAAUGGCUAUUGAACUUUGUUAAGUAAUUUUCCUGUACCACGUUAAUUAAUUAUGUCUUCUUUAGUCUGCUAACAUAGUAAAUGACAAUGUUAGAGUAUGGGUUUUUUUUUUCCAAGUUUUAAUUUUUUUAUUAACACAUAUGUGCAUAACAUAAUAAUUACAUUCCUUGUGGGGAGUUCGCACAUGUUAAAUUCUUAUAAACCCUAAGUGGUCAUGCUGAGAUACACAUAUGCAUACAUAUUGCUGGAUUUGAUUUGCUAAUUUUGUAGGAUAUAUUUUAUGAUCAUGAAAGAAAAUUGGUCUGUAGUUUUUCUUGUAUUACCUUGUCUAAUUUUGGUAUUUUGUAUCGGAAUCAUGUUGGCCUCAUAAAAUGGGUUGGAAAGUGUUCUCUAUUUUUUAUUUUGUGACAAAGUCUUGGUCAGUCACUAACUUGUCCAGACUGAGUUAGAACUUGUCAUCCUCUGGCUUCAGCAUGUCAAGAGUCCCAGGAUUAUAGGCACAUACCACCACACCUGGCUUGGAAGGGGAAACUUUUAAGAGACCAAGUAGGAGGUCUUCGGGUCACUGGGGAUGUGCCCUUGAAGGGGAUUAGGAGGAUCUGGCCCCUCUGCUGUUUCUCUUUUUCUUUCACUCUUCCAUUCUAUCACAUAUUUCCACUGUGAUAGACUGCUUUUCCAUGGGCCCAAAAACAAUACAGCCAACCCAGCUUGGACCAAAGCCUCUCAAACUGUGAGCCAAAAUAAACAUUUUUCCUCUUUAUAAA